AGGAAGAAAUUAAAGAAUAAGAAAAUGUCGGAAUGUGAUGAUGAUGCAUCAGAGCCAGAGGUAUGCAGUAAAUAUAUAUCUUGUUCAAUUCUCUGCAAUAAAUUAAUGUUACAUAUUUUAUCAUUUAACUCUCACUGGCGGCAGAUCAAUAAUCUAAAUCUGGGUAAUGAGGACAUACCAGAAUCGUCGUUGUCUCAUGUCAAUCUUGAAGAUAAAGAUGACUUCAGUGUUUGGAUAGAUCACAAGAUAACGCAAUACAAAGAACAAAAGUAAAAAAUAAAUAAAUAAAGACGUGAUUUCGAUCAUCAGGUUUAUUUGCAUGUUCAAUUCAUACCUAAAAAAAUACUUAUUGUCUGGUGUUUAAUAAUUUGGAUUUCUUAUUUUCUAUUUUCACUCUUCUCUCUCUAAAUUCUUAUUUUGGGCAAUAUUGUUUGUUACCUAUAUUUUAUGAGAUUUACAAGUGAUGUUUCAUUCACCGAUGAUUAUUAUUGAUUGAUGAUGGCAGAGGUAUUUAUAGUACAACA
rnacentral:lncRNA from 1 species